GCUGCUAACCAGAGGGAAAAAAGAUAAGGGGUGGAACAGAGUCCUUUUGCUGCCUUUUUUCACAAUUUUUCACUUGGAAAACCUAUGUCAGCCUCAAGUCACAAAUAGCCCUUCUGGGUAUGGAUAUGGAGCAUCUACUUUUGGAGAUAACAUGAAUGUAGAAGCAAACGGACUGCUGUCACACCUGGAGGCCUUUCAUUUCUUGUCCUUAGUGACCUGGAACCCUUAUGGUGCUGUCUGUAUGGGCACCUGUCCAGA
rnacentral:lncRNA from 1 species